rnacentral:rRNA from 1 species
UAUAAGACUGGGAUAACUUCGGGAAACCGGAGCUAAUACCGGAUAACAUUUAGAACCGCAUGGUUCUAAAGUGAAAGAUGGUUUUGCUAUCACUUAUAGAUGGACCCGCGCCGUAUUAGCUAGUUGGUAAGGUAACGGCUUACCAAGGCGACGAUACGUAGCCGACCUGAGAGGGUGAUCGGCCACACUGGAACUGAGACACGGUCCAGACUCCUACGGGAGGCAGCAGUAGGGAAUCUUCCGCAAUGGGCGAAAGCCUGACGGAGCAACGCCGCGUGAGUGAUGAAGGGUUUCGGCUCGUAAAACUCUGUUAUUAGGGAAGAACAAAUGUGUAAGUAACUGUGCACAUCUUGACGGUACCUAAUCAGAAAGCCACGGCUAACUACGUGCCAGCAGCCGCGGUAAUACGUAGGUGGCAAGCGUUAUCCGGAAUUAUUGGGCGUAAAGCGCGCGUAGGCGGUUUCUUAAGUCUGAUGUGAAAGCCCACGGCUCAACCGUGGAGGGUCAUUGGAAACUGGGAAACUUGAGUACAGAAGAGGAAAGUGGAAUUCCAUGUGUAGCGGUGAAAUGCGCAGAGAUAUGGAGGAACACCAGUGGCGAAGGCGACUUUCUGGUCUGUAACUGACGCUGAUGUGCGAAAGCGUGGGGAUCAAACAGGAUUAGAUACCCUGGUAGUCCACGCCGUAAACGAUGAGUGCUAAGUGUUAGGGGGUUUCCGCCCCUUAGUGCUGCAGCUAACGCAUUAAGCACUCCGCCUGGGGAGUACGACCGCAAGGUUGAAACUCAGAG